CCCGGUCCCUCCUCCCGCCGAGACCCGCCCCCGACGCUGCAGCUCCGCCGGCCGCGCCCGCUGCGGGGUUCCUGCGCGCGCCUGAGGCCCGAGCCCGGAGACCGGACCGCAGGCCCUGCGCGCCGCGCCCUUGCUUUCUAUCAACAGGCGCGGAGGUGUCCACUGUGGAGCCGGGGCUUCCGGUGUCACCGGCUCGGAACCUGUUGCGCCGUCCCGCCCGCGCUGGGAGCGGGUUCUGCCGGCGCGAGUAGGCGAGUGUGAGCGCCCCGCCCUCCGUGAAAGGAGGGGUGAGCCUGCUCUAGGUGGGGGGGGCUCGGAUCCCCACUGAGUGGUUUGCACCGCAUGGCCGUGGGCUCGGAGCGCGGGUUGUGUCCGGGGACGCAGCCAGGAGCAAGUGGCCGCCCUCAGAUCUGGAAGGAGGGCCUUUCGAGGGAGGAGGUGGGUGAGGCCACAGUUGCACCUGGAGAAAAUCUCUGAGUCAUCGCGCUGACCCACCAGGCUGGGAAGGUGCGGCAGCAGAGGGGAGAGCAGCGACUCCGCCGGACUGCAGCGCUUUAAAAAGCAGGAAGAAGAUGUGUGUGUAAGCUGUGCAGCACACGUGAUGGGCAGUGUGGCGCUACACCAGCAGGUGCCUCCACGUCGCCCAGCAGGGGAGGAGACCCUGGAGAGCCCCCAGCGCUGAUUACAGCAGGUCAUUAUUCUCGGCAGCCACAAGUCCUAUAAAGUCACCACACACACUGAGUCAGGGAACCCAAACCAUUGCUUCUAGAGGAAAUGCAGACCUAGGUUCCUGUGAGCCUGUGGUCACACAUUUUUGUCAACUGAUUGACAUAGAACCUUGUUUUAUGUGUUAUUGUAUAAAAAUAACUUAUUUAAUACAUAUUGUUGAUUUGAUAAUGUUGAACUCAACCAACAACACAGUAACUCGUGCCUUCAUGACGUUUCUAUGACAUGUAUCUUCUCUGAAAGGCACAUCGCAGCCCUGUGCUUGGGAAUGCUAGACAGCACUUCAGCACCAUGCCUGGGGCCGUUCUAAACUGAAAUCACCAACCAAAAUGUAAAAACAUGACAGACAUGGCACCAAAUGGACUGUGAAAAGGAUGCUGUUCACCGUGCGAGAGCUGAACCUAGAAGGCUGAGAGCAGCCUUGUUCGACCUCAGCUGGGAAUGUGCAGCUGGUAGCUCUAAGUUUCAUGGCUCUACACAUGCACAUGUCCAUCGGCGGCCAAGAAAGUGCUGUCAGUGUUGAUUUUGGAGUUACAAAUAUAUACUAGCAAGUAGGUGAAUUUGCAAAUGUGGAAUCUGUGAGUCAUAAGUAUUGGCUGUGACUCCUUCCUGCAAUAAGUUACUAAGUCACUUCCAUCUCUAUUUCAUUGACCAAAGCAAAUCCUCAGGCCUUGACUGACCUCCAGAGGGUGAGAAAGCGCAGUCGCGCUGUGAUCUCAAAGAACUCAGAUAUUUGAAAGAAGCACCAACGCCAAUCGCUGGUGCCAUUUAGUCAUUCCCUGAUUGUUCCUCACUUGUGGCAGGUUGCAACAUUAUCUCCCAUCCAACAUGCUGGUUAUAAUGUGGCUUCGACACACCUCCCAUCGAGGGAGGGAGGUCCAGGCUCCCUUUCCUUGAAACUGGGCAGGCUUAUGACUACAGCAGAGGCGACACUGUAACUUCUAAGGCUGGGCCACUCAAGACCUCCACAUAGUUCUAAGGACACAGAGCGCCAACAGCCAUGCCAAAGGACGCCCAGCAGACUCCUGGAGAGCCACAUACAGGUUCCUGGCUGAGGGCCUGCUGACAGGGGGCGUCAGCCACCACGUGUGAGGGACCCAGUGUUUGUGCGGCUCCGGCGUCUGCAUUGAGUCACCUCCAGGCAUCCUCGACCCCUCCACACUGAGGCCCCAGCAGUGGUGGCGCAGACACAAGCUAUCCCUGCAGAUCCCACAGAAUCUGAGCCUCAUAAAAUGGUUGUUUUUUAUGCCACUACACUUGGAGUGAUUUAUUUUUCAGGAAUAAUAACCAGAAGAGGUCUUCUGUGGGCGGUGCUGUAGGUGCCGGUGGGGUUUAGUGAUGAAUAAAAUGUGGUUCACAUGUU